UGACCGAUCCGAAGUCGUAAAACUAUGGAUAGAGCGGGAGGCAACCCCGUAAAAAGCGUA
ncrna:unclassified sequences GP20-b RNA